CGCAUCUGUGCAUGCAGCAUAUCAAUAAGCGGAGGAAAAGAGGGCUAUUACCUACGCUUAGGAUGUUGACGAGACUGUCGAUCUCAUCUAUACAUGACUCUGUGCAUGUCAAUAAGCGGAGGAAAAGAGGGCUACUACCUACGCUUAGGAUGUUGACGAGACUGUCGAUCUCAUCUAUACAUGACUCUGUGCAUAUCAAUAAGCGGAGGAAAAGUACCUACGCUUAGGAUGUUGACGCGCGUGUGUGCGUGAGUCUAUGCAUGACUCUGUGCAUAUCAAUAAGCGGAGGAAAAGGCUGCGGAACUGAACGACCGCUACCUACGCUUAGGAUGUUGACGAGACUGUCGAUCUCAUCUAUACAUGACUCUGUGCAUAUCAAUAAGCGGAGGAAAAGAAACUAACAAGGAUUCCCUUAGUAACGGCGAGUGAAGCGGGAAGAGCUCAAAUUUGAAAUCUUCAAGGUUUUACCUUGACGAAUUGUAGUUUAAAGAAGUGUUUUCUGUUGAAGUUUUGGUAAAAGUUCUUUGGAAUAGGACAUCAUAGAGGGUGAGAAUCCCGUAUUUGACCAUUAUUUUCAGCUGUGUGAUACACUUUCAAAGAGUCGGAUUGUUUGGGAAUGCAGUCCAAAAUGGGUGGUAAAUUUCAUCUAAAGCUAAAUAUUGGCGAGAGACCGAUAGCGAACAAGUACCGAGAGGGAAAGAUGAAAAGAACUUUGAAAAGAGAGUUAAACAGUACGUGAAAUUGUCAAAAGGGAAGCGUUUGACACCAGUGUUGUUUUUCUGAAAAUCAAUUAAAGAACUGUUUAUGCUAAGUUGUUUAGACUUUAUCAGCUAUCUGCUUAGUUUUGAGCUUUUCUUUAAUGCACUUUUCAGUUAACAAGUCAACAUCAAUUUCUUUUGCUGUAAAAAAGCUUGAGGAAGGUGGCUUGAGAUUCGUCUUAAGUGUUUAUAGCCUCUUGCCUAUGCAGUCGGAGAGAUUGAGGUCUGCAGCGUAGAUCCUUCGGGGCUAAAUGCAUUUAUGCUAAGUUAUAGCAUUUUAUAGACAACUUGUUGACUAUGAUUUGUCUUGUAGCUUACUCGCUUAUGUUAUUUUACCUACGCUUAGGAUGUUGACGAGACUGUCGAUCUC
rnacentral:rRNA from 1 species